rnacentral:lncRNA from 1 species
AUCAUCCCAAGCAGAUACAGUAUUUUCCUUUAGGCCCGGUGGCACAUGUAGCACUUUGGUACUUGUCCUUCAAGAUUUUCUGGCAUGCUGCUAUACAUGCAGACAGUGUACAUGGAUUUAAGUCAAUCCCAAUUGCACUCUCCACCUUAAUUGGAUCACAAAUAAUUAAGGCCAUAAUCACCAUCAUUAGCACUAAUCCACUCUUCCUUAAUCCCUUUGCUUCCAUUUCUUACUAGUACUAGUUGCUUUCUCUUUUCUUUUAUGAUGAAG